rnacentral:lncRNA from 1 species
AUGACCAACUUCGAACAAACACAUGAUACUGAUUCCAGUAAUGGAGCAAAAUGGGUUUGUAAUGUGGAGGAGGAACUGGAUAACUCUGCAGUUCCUCAAAACUCACUACAGUCUGAAACCCUCUUUAUCAAAACGGGCUGUGAGCUGGACAGUGAGCUAACCAUUGAUUUGAAUUAUGAACAAACCACCAAUUCAUCAUUUGAUCCAUAUGGUUUUAAACUCAGUCCAGAACAUUCUCAUCACACACUCUUAGAUCCCGAUGAAGAAGAACUCAUCCCACAAUUUUCUGGGAAUGAGAUAGUCUUUGUUUCAGAACCUUCUCCCUCUCAACCAGAUGCAGAUGAUUUUUCAUAUUCUCCACAUCCAUAUGUGUUUGAUACCACCUCCACAGAGAUGACUCAAGACUCUGACCCUUAUGGCUUUAAGCUUAGCCCUGAGCCAGAAAAUCAAGAGGAUCUGGAACUGUAUGGACACAAUGACCUGGAAAAAAUGGAUAUUUGCACCUUUGACAGAGUACUGGAAGUACUAGAAGCUCAAAACCCUAAAGAUCAACACAUGAAUGAAAAUUGUAGCCAAAGUGAUCAGGAAUUGCUGGAUUUGUUUGGCAACGGAAAUCGGGAAGUUAUGGCAAGUUCGGACAAUGUAGAAUUAAUCUAUGAAAACCAAGAGAUAUUAGAUCUCUGCAGUUAUGACAACCCGGAGGUGGUGGGACCUUAUGAUAAUAAUACGAUUGAUAAACUAACUGAACCCGGUAACUGCUCUCCUGAAAAUCAGGAAGUGCUCGAUUUAGAUAGCCACAUUAAUAGCGAAUUUCAGGAUUUCAGCAUCGCUGAAAAUCCAGAAGUUCUCAUUUCACAUAGUGACAGCAACCGAGAAGUCUGUGAAAAUUAUAAGGAAGUCUUGAGUUUGGGACACCAUGACAACCAGGAAGUUCUGGAAUUCGUGAGUAAAGACAUUUUUCCUGAAGCAAAUAAUAACCAAUGUGUUGUGGAAUCAAAGGUUAGUGUCAGUUCCACCAGUAAUAGCUCAGACAGUGAAGUGGAUUCAAAGGACCAUCUGGGACUUGGACUUGAUAGCAGUAUCUGCAACUCUAACAGGGCAAACACCAAUACUGCUGACAGCAUCCACAUGGAUGUCAGUUCCAUACCUCCAACCCAAGACCUUAAUACAUCUAAUGCUCCCAUCAGUCACAACUUGUUAGAAGGGGAUCUGGGUUCAGUAUUUGGGGCCGGAGGGUACAUUGGCUGCCCUGAUGUGGCUGAUGAUCUAGAGCCUCUGGAAAGAAGGCAGGCAUGCCCGGUACCUGAACCUGUUCGACCAAUUCGACCAGUGAGGCCUCCACGGCCUUCACUCAGGGCCAAGGAGCCGGGUCAGUCCCAGACUCAGAACAUCGAUUUGAAGUGA